GACGUGUCUAUGAGGCCCGCGCUGCGGUUGCGGAACGUCAGGCUCUCGAAGCUGGGGAUGUCCGGCCGCUUGGACAGCGUCUGCGUGUAGUCCGAGAUGGCCCUGGUCACCGGGUCGCGCACCACCACGAUGAGCUUGAAAUGCUUUACGAUGGCCCCUCUCGUUUAUGAGCUUCCCCAGCUCUACCCUGCCCCAUCUACUCGCUAUGCCAACUGGAUUCUUUAAAGCCAACUGGCAGACAGCCUCUCGAUUACUCUAUCCAGAUGUAAGUGAGCACAGCUGGGAAACGAGUGCAACAUGCCUGAGAUGCCCAUGGCCCUUCCUCACCUGUGCACGCCAAAGUCUCUGAGGAAUCAGCUAGACCAAGCGCUUCCUGAACUUAAGAUGCCCCUGUACAGCACAAGCUGGGAAACCGGGCCAGAGAUGGUUGGAAUUUCCCAGUAAAAGAAAUUUGAUCAAAUUUAUGAGAAAAUGUUGGGCUUUGAGCAAACACCACACACUCUGGAGGGGUAAGGAGUGUGUGGACUUAAAAACGGGGGCGGGGGUAGAUUCCUGCCUCCUUGUCUACAAUCUCCAAGUUAGGACUAGUUUACCUCAUAUUUCGCUUGGAAUCUGCAAGUGAAAGCAGACUGCUCUUGGGAGUUCCUGGAUGGCUUUUCUCUGGGAGCAAAGAGACCCUUAGGAGCCUUUCUCAGAGAUUGAAGCUUCAGAUUGUGCGUGGCCAAAACAAAUGCUGCUAACCCUCAGAAAAAGAAUCCACAUUUUAAAAAGCCUAUGCCAAAACAAAGCGCUUGAAAAGAGACAGCCCAAACAGGGCCUUCCCAAGAAAGAAUCCUUAUUACCUCCUGUCACUCAUGGGACGGGGAAGUCCGACUGGUUACUGUGGGAGUAAAGAAUUUGUUACGCCCUGAAUAACAACCCAAGAUCAAGAGUUCUGGAGAUGGAUGGCACGACAUGUAUGUAGUCAAUACUCUUGAACCUAAGGACACAGAGACAGCCCACUUUAAGCAGAGCACAGUUUACAGCAAGUUUUUUAAAGCACUCAAGAAGGAACAAAGGCUUAGAGGGAUGGCUCUAGCUACAUUAUAUCCUUUGGCUUCAAGGUGACUGAGUGCUGGAGCUAAGAACUCCAAGAGGCUGUGGUUUCAUUUUCAUCCUGCUAGUCCAAAGAGAAAUGAAAUAAUUUUUGGCUGUUUGUAGAGCUGAUCUGAAAUCAGAAAAUGGUGUUUGUGGCUCAUACCUUCUAACUGUUGAUAGGGUUGGGGAGGGAGGGAGAGAUGCUGUGACUCGAUUUACCUAAGCCCAGUUUUUUAUUUCAACGACAAAAUCAAGGCAAAUGGCUCAGGAAUCUGUCCUGUAAAGGACUGCCACACACCUCUGCUCCAGAGUGUGUUACCAAGAUUGGUCUGAAGGGAGGGGUGACCAGUGACCUCAUUCCCAAUGGCAGGAGGACCCUUCAGUCCAGACAACAGAAGCCCAGAUAAAACCAGAGAUGCCUUCACUGCCAUGACCCUGGGAUAUCUAACAUUGUCUCACUGGGUAUGGACAUUCAGGAUGCAUGGCUUAAAAGUCAUGAGCUGGUCACUGUCUUUGGAGAGACACAGACUGACUGGUUGUUUUGGGAGAGGUGAAUAAUAGUUUUUAAGUGGAUUCAGUUACCAGAAAGAACACACAAGUUCCUCAAAGUUUGUGUCUGUUGCAGACAUCAUUACAACAUCACUUUGGAGCUGAUCUGGCAGUGGGUAAUCUCUGUGGGUCUAGGGGUUGUUCUUGUAGCUAUCUACGCUGUUAGAGCCAUACAAGCCAGGGAAGACAGGCUCCGUUGUUUGUUCUUUUCUACUAAAGCCAAUGGUCAAGGCAAUGGUUUCUGGUGAGAGUGCUAGAAUGGCCUGGAGGGCUUUUUCUCUCCGCAUGGAGCAGGGGACAUACCACAUUUGCAGUUGUGUUGGACCUCUGGGAUGGUGUAAGAACCAGGAUGCUCCCUGGGAUUAAGUGGCCAAUGUUUCACCAUUGUCUGUAUGCAGAUACCUCGUUACUGGGAGAGCCCAACACAGCACAGUCAAAAUAGAUGGCUUCAUAUCUUCCAGUCACACCUGCUUGUGUAUGAGUCUCACAAAGGAUGCUAAGUGUCAGCCAGUCUUGACACUGCACCUACCGUGUGACCACUGUGGUGGUUUGAAUGAGAUAGUCCCCUAGAGUCUCUGGCACUUACACACUUGGUCCUCAGUUUGUGUCCCUGUUUGGGGGGGAGGUUAGGAGAUAUGGCCCUGGUGGUGAAAAUCCAUCAUUGAGGUAGAGUUUGAGAGUUUAAAGGCCUGUUCCAUUUCAACUUUGCUCUCUUGGUUUCUUGAUAAGUUGAGAUGUGAGCUCUCUGUGUUCCUGCCACUGUGCAUGCAUGGUGCUUGCAGGCCCACCUCCUCUCUGUGAUGGCGACAGACUCCUAACUAUCCCUCUGGAUCUGUCAGCUCAAAACAAACCUUCCUUUCUAUAAAUUGCCUUGGUUGUGGUGUUUUAUCCCAGCAACAGAAGAAUAGCUAAUAUAGCUUUCUCCAUGAAAAGUUGGUGAUCGGAGCUUGGAAGAUGGCUUAGCAGGUAAAGUGUUCAGCAGAAAAGCAUGAAGACCCGAGUCAGAUCCCCAGAAAUAUAAUGACAAAAAUGUCAGACACAGUGCUGUGUGUCUAUAACCCUGACACCAGUGAGGCAAAGGCAAGAGCAUCCUUGGGCCCAAUGGCCAGUGUGUUCAGCCAAUCAGUGAACUCUGUGUUUGACUGAGUUUAGUGAGAGACCUCCUCUCAAAGAAAGGAGGUAGAGAAGCAAUUUGGAGAAGACAAAUGAUGCCUGACACUGGCUUCUGGCCUCCACAUUUUUGUGUGUGGUUUCCCUCAUGACUGCACUUGCGCACACACGCGCGCACACACACACACACACACACACACACACACACACACACACACACAAUCAUAAAACAAACAAAAAAUGAAAACGAACUCCUGUAUACAACUAGAUACAUCAAAAUAGCUGUUGCCUGUGAGGAAUCAGUUUGGGGAAGGAAGAGCAAAAGCAUCUAAGGAGAGAGAGUCCACCUGUCCCUGACUCCUGGCACAGUGUAUCCACUUUGGGUAAACCUGUUGUGGAGUUGUAUGCUCCAAUUUGUGCAGUUUUAUGUAUUUAAGUUAUAGUGAAAUAAAUAUUUUAUUACACUUAUAAAAAAUAAAUGGCCAGUUUCCCCAUAAGACUCCAAGAAAAGCAUGCAUUUCCUAAAGCCCAAACAAAACAAAAAUUGCUUUUGCCAAACCCAGCAUAUCUCCGAAUUGUAGAAAUGCAAGUUACAGAAGAAAAGUGGGGUUCGCCUAUCUAGGAUUCCUGGAUCCCACCUAUGACCACUUUCCUUUUACCCCAGAUAAACCACAGGAACAGGAGCUGUAUAAUUUCAUCCUACCCAUGGAUAGAGUCCCACAUCUGGGGCACAGAGACGGGAGGGAUUAUCUGAACGUAGUUUUUUAAGUGGUGCUCGCAAAAUGCUUUAGGAAUAAAAUUCUCAUUUUAUCAUUGAAGAUAUCUAAGAAAGAUAAAAUAGGUCUAUGAUCUCAAAUAUAUAAUAAUUAAUCCUAAUAUGUAUUAUAUAAUACUAAUAUCAUACUAAAUGUAUACUACUACUAAUAGUAUCACCUAGAUGGUAAUAAGUGGUCCUCUCUGCGCUCAGGACUUGUUCCUUCCUAUUUCAUCAGAAAAGAAGCCAGCAAUGAAAGAGGUUUAGAAAAGGAAUCCACAAACAAGGACUUAAAAUAACAGCUUGGGCAACCACUGGAGAAAAUGAGACCCCGAGAGAGUGAUCCAGAACACCAUGGAAGAUUCAGGAAGGCCUGGGCUCAUGACUAAAGAUGAGAUGAAGUACUUGUCUGUCUACACAAACGGGGCAGUCAUGUGCCACAAAACCAACGGUUCUCAACCUGGGAGCCAUGAAUGACUCACAUUGGGGGUUGAAGUACCCUGUCACAGGGGUCACCUGAAACCAGUGGAAAACACAGACAUUUACAUUAUGAUUCAUAAUAGUAACAAAAUUACAGUUAUGAAGUAGGAACAAUAGUAAUGUUAUGGUUGGGGUCACUACCACAUGAGGAACUGUAUUAUUAAAGGGUCAUAGCAUUACGAAGGCUGAGAAUCAUUGGGCUAGACUGACAAGAUGAGGGCAUAAUCAGUGACAUGGUAAUGACUGGAACAUUGCUCAGGGGAGGUUAGGUGGGCUUUAGAAAGCUCUUCCAAUGGAACCCAAGUGUGAAGAACUUAGUGUCAGUGUGGGAAGGACAGAGGAGGGGGAGCAUAAAAGCCGUGUUCAGAGACAUGAGGAUGCUGUUCUAGAUGAUUUACACGAGGGUGACAUAGAUGUUUUCCAAAGAGGAUUAAAAAAACAGAAAUAAUGGCGACUUUACUAGCAAGUUGGGGUGCUGUGAGGGUGGUAAUCCUUUCCCCACAAGAAAAUAGAAGCACAUGUGUAGUUUUCUGUAGUGGAGUUGGAAUGACUUGUAAAAAGAGGCCAUUUCUUCCCAAGAUCCCAGAGGGAGACGUGACGUUGGUGUUGCUCUGAAAUGUGACUGUUUCCCAGUCCCAUGAAGACAGUCAGUAUGGCUUUGUAGGAAACUCAGAACCGAGAGAAACAAUACAGAUUUCAGCCACUUUCUGUCACUAACAAGCGGUGUGAAGCUAGACAAGUCACUAAUUCUUUGGGUCUCUGUUCAGCAAAACCACGUUGACUCCCUGUAUGGUUCAGGACACUAAUUUGUCUAAUUUGAUGCUCUGAAGCGUGGUAACAGAAAGACCAGGGGAUCUAGGGUUCAGUGGAUUCUUGCAUUUGAUAAAACUAAGUUUAUGACAGAGGAGACCCUUGUCUAUCUUACGCUUCCUCAAAAUCAGAUGAAGUUCACAGAUUGGGCUGUGUUACGAGUAACAGAUCCAGGGCAGUCAGGGUUCAAGCUCAGGUUCUGGGAAGAACCUUACAAGAAAGAAGCAGAUGGGCACUUAGGAACCACCUAUCACAGACUGAGGUGGAAGAAUCAUCACUCUGGUCUCACAAUCACUGGACCAGCUAAGAAUUUGAAUUUUAGUUUUCAGAAGACAGAGAGGUACCAUGGUUUGCCCAGCGAUAGUUGUGACUAACAGGAAUAGAAUACAAUUCUAGGUCUUUCUCAUGUUAGAGUAUGUGUUCUUUCAACCCUUCCAAAUACCCAGGCAGCAUCUGCCAAUGUAAUUCCUAUCACUGGCACUGGCCAUCUAGGACAUUGUGACUAAAUGUUUAAUUGUUGCAUGUACUUCUCCCCACCCCCACUCAUCUUGGCAUGCAAAUUGCUUAUUCCAAAAGCUAUUUUAUACAAAGGAAGCAUAGCUGCAGGAGGAAGUGCUGGGUUACCACUCAAGGACGAUUUACCUUGAGGGAUUGAUAAAUCUGGUCAAUUUGCAUGAGUAUGCUUUCAGUCUGCCUCCUCUGUCUGUUUCUGCAAGCCUGUGGCAGCAAAGUACACCAUUUUCUCUGGAUGGCCAAUGUCUGCAGGUAGUCCCUGGAGAUCCCUAACCGUGUGUCUGGAAGGGAGGAAACCACAUUCAAUCCGGAGCUGUCAGCUUGCUGUCUCUGGGGCCAAGGCUUGCUCAUGUUAAUGUUUCUUUUCCUGCUGCUGUGAUGUGAGAACCCCUCUCAAACCAGGAGUGGUGACUCUGCCUGGACAGGAAACUCCUUCUGCUGAUGUUUGAGUUGGCUUCUGAGGGAGAGGGAGACUGAUGUGAUGAACCAGCUCCCACACUGACCAGACUUGCAUGGAACAAUCUAAGAAUCACAGUGAGAGAAGUUAAAUGUUCAGCUGAGAGUCUGGGAUACUUUCCGGUGCUGUGGACAGUCAGCGCCUUCCAAGACUCUAAAUGAUCAAAGGACAGACAGGAAUGGAAGCGAUUCUGACUGUCCCCGGAUUCAUGAUUCAUCAGGUACCAGCGUUUAUUUUAAGGACAAAACUCCAGGGGAGUACAGAAAGUCUGGGAUUCUUGAUUGCACAUUUGGAGAAACUCUGGAAAGGCAGAAUAUACACCUCUGGUCAUCAACAGAAAAACACGUUGAAAGAGGAGGACAAGAGCUAUCUUGGAUCCCAUGCUUAAGCAGGAACCAUGCCUGUAAAUGCUCCCAGUCAACCUCCAUCAUAUCAGUCACUGAGGAUCUAAAACAGGGCUUCUCAACAUGUGGUCUCGACUCACACGGAGGUCACAUCUCAGAUAUCCUGCAUGUUAUAUCUUGACCCUAUGACUCAUAACAGUAGCAAGACUUCAAUUAUGAAGUAGCAACAAAAUGAUUUUUUGAUUGAGGGAUCACCACAACGUGAACUGUAUCAAAUGGUCUCCGAAUUAGGAAGGUUGAGAACCACUGAUCUAAAACUAGACCAGAUUCCCACAGGCUUCACUGUCCCUCACUGAACUUCAUUUUGAACUUCACUAAAGCCUCCUUCACAGAUAAAAAUAUUGCUUCAGAUGACAUUUCUACCUCUGUGUAUGUUGUCACAAAUGCUACUCCAAAGUGCUGUCUGAUUCAUGGGCCCAAGUGCUCCCCUGUCUGCCUGUAUCUGAGAAACCUGUACCUAAGAAACCACAAGGAGGGGUAGGGGUAUGCCACUUUGCCCCUCUAUAGAGGGUUAAAGCCAUCUCUGAGACUGAGGUUUCUUACACCUCGAUUCCCUGCCUGCAGUUCUUGCUCCACGGGGCUGCCUCCCACCCUAGCAGGGUUUCACCUGGGCAACCACUAGCAAGUUUGUUAGAGUUUGAGCAUAAAGACUCUCAGAGGCAUUCAUGUAGAAAGGGAAGUAAAAAUCCCAUUAGGUCACCACUGGGGAAGAGAGUGAAGGAGGUAGCUUUAAACUCAUUUAGUGUAAGUGCCUGGAUCAUAAUAAAAGUUUAAAAGAAAAGAAAUACUCAGGGUUGGGGAUUUAACUCAGUGGUAGAGCGCUUGCCUAGCAAGCACAAGGCACUGGGUUCGGUCCCAAGCUCCGGAAAAAAAAAAAAGAAAAAGAAAAGAAAAGAAAUACUCAGCUAAGCUUUUCUUCACCUGAUGUUGGGUCAAGAUGACGUAAUGCUCAGAAGUACAAAGAUUUAAGAAAACUCACUCCCCUGUUCUUAGAAAGGAACUUGCACGCUCAUUUGAGCCAAAUGAUUGAACAAGUCAACUUACAAGUUCUUGAAUGAGUCUGUGUGUUUCUUGAAUGAAGUCUGUGUAUUAAAAAAUAAAAAGUUAGGAACAUCUAAAAUCAGAACAGAAUACGAGUCUUACAAAACCACAUUUAAUGUAGUUAAAAUGGGGACAAGUCCCAGAAAUAAAACAGCAGCAAGUCACAUGGUCACCAGAACCAACGCUGGAAAUUCACAAGCCCCGAGGGGUUUGCAUGUUUAUGAGCAACUAACAGACAGACAGAGAGACAAGACAAACCAAGAGAUUAUAGAUAGAUAGCAGAGAUCCCGAUACAGGGGGAAAGGGGACAUAUCAUCCAAAUUCCUCACUGCUGUCUCCUGAGAAGCUCCAUGGGAUUGUAGACUUGGGGUGGGGGACCCUGAGAAAUCCCCUAAGCUCCCCAGGGACUUCCCAUCACACUCAGUUCUACAGUUUCCAUGACACAGAAUUGGCUGAGAUCCUGUGUCUCUUAACCCUUAGUCCACUACUCUCUCAUACUUCACUUUGUCUUAAUUCUAAAAUAAACUGUGACCAGAGUGUAGCCACUAUGAUGUUGGUUCCUAAAGAGUAAAAUUUGUCACUAGGUGCCAUGAGCAUGUGCCAGUGCAAGACAGCUGUGACUUAAACACAGCCCAACAAUGGAGGGAGACAUUUCCUAGAUGGCUUGGAACCAGGAAGAUUUUUAAACGGGGUCCUUGUUAAAGGUAGACUAGAUCUCCCUCUCUCCGGCUUACCUGGAGCCUUAACUACGUAAGUCAACUUACGUAGGAGAUGGAAGUGAAGUUUUUAAUGGAAGCCUGCAGACCAUGGGCCAAAGGCAGGUGAGCGAUUGCAUCCUCAGCAACUCCCUAUCUGAGCUUAUCCUGUCUCCUGACAGGAGUUUCAUGAACGAUGGGUUUGAGAACUGUCUUGCUGCUGUGGUACUACAGGCAAAGUCUUCAGCAUGGCUCCUCACCAGCCUAGAAUUGUCAGGGCUAUGCUUGUGUGCAGCUGGAGAUAAGGCAGACUUCGCAUCCAUGACUUGGCAAGGAACAACUUAAAGCUUGGCCUACGGACAAACUACUAAGGCAGGAGCAGUGUAAAUCUGAGACCACAGGGAGUCUCUGCUCCAUUUUGGCAGUGGUGGGCUUUGGCUUCUUCGUCCUUUCCCCACCGCUCCCUGACACUUUUUUUCUUGCUGUUUCUGAGUUGGAGACACAGAGUGGCAAUGAAAUCAAAGACCUUUUACGUUUAGGAAAGGAGAAGAGCUUGAAGCUACAAUACUGGCGGUACAAUGCUGGACUCCCUGGGUGUUCUGUCUAAAAUUGAUCUUCAGCAUCCUGGGCAAGCCUCUUGGUUUCCUUGAUCUUUAAGUAAAAGAAAAAAAAUACAAAUGUAGUGCUGAAAUAGCACCAAAAAUCAUGCUAAAAAUUUGUCAUAGCUCCAUUCUACAAGGUGACAUGGUUAAGUUCCAGCAUAACAGAGUUAUGGCAUGAAGCUGCCAUCAAACUUCAGGAAUGCAAGGCGGGAGUGUCCAUCAGCACAGCAGGGCCCUUGCCACUGUGAAAGGGUAAAGCCAUCUUGGAAAGGAACACAGAGGGCUCUGGUAUUCACUUGCAGUUCAGAAAGGCACGUGAAUCACUCAUUCACAUGUGCAGGCUUACCAUAGAAGCCAUCACACCAGUAAGCAAUACAGUGCAACCCGUAGUCCUAAGCACACUCUCUUAUCACUAACAACAUUCGGGCUCCAGGGAAAUGUUUCUCCAAACCUCUCUCCCUAAGAUUUUUACACAAAAUCCCUAUAUGUCAAGGGCAUGCGUGGAAUGCACUGUUGCCAAAGUUGGAGAUGAAGGAAACUGCUUCUGAUUUGGGGAAGGAUUUGAGUAGGACAAGAAGUCAGCCAAGGUUCCUGCUAGUUAACACGAAAGAACCUGAAACUGCUGUGUGUGUGUAUGUGUGUGUGUGUGUGUGUGUGUGUGUGUGUGUGUGUCCUUUGCCUCUCCUGAUCCAGUUUGUGACUACAAGGAGCUCACAUUCACAGUGAAUUCACAGCAUUUACACAUGAAGACAGCAUGUUAGCAUGUUUCCAACAGAGGCAGGUUGAUCUGUCCCAGGGAAGAAGGUCAUUCAUGACUCUAUAAGCACCUAGGAGGCUUUCAAAACUGGAUCUCAGAACGCAAUAAACAAAAAGGGCUUGAUAAAACUAAACUACACACUUUUUAAAAAAAAAGUUAACAAGGUCAUUUAAAAUCAGUUGCAUUUCAAAGUUUUACACAGAUCAACACAAUUUGCAUUUUAGACUGUAGUAUACUGUCAUUGGGCACAUGGCCAACUGUGGUCUUCUGGUGGCUUUCAUUCUCUGACAGACAACUUUUAAAUUCAAGACACAAGAAAAUGACUUGGUUUCUCAAGUUUUGCAUUCAACCUUAAUUUACAUUGUUAUCAGAGUAUAUUGUAAUUUUCACAUUUCAAAAAUUCUUUAUAUCCAUGGUCGCCAAACUAAACUCCAUACUCCAAACCAACAUAUUUUCUUUAGCUUUUUGAUUCUAUCUGUGCAAAACUCGAAUAACAAACUUUCCACAG